GAUGAACGCUGGCGGCGUGCCUAAUACAUGCAAGUCGAGCGAACGGACGAGAAGCUUGCUUCUCUGAUGUUAGCGGCGGACGGGUGAGUAACACGUGGAUAACCUACCUAUAAGACUGGGAUAACUUCGGGAAACCGGAGCUAAUACCGGAUAAUAUUUUGAACCGCAUGGUUCAACAGUGAAAGACGGUCUUGCUGUCCCUUAUAGAUGGAUCCGCGCUGCAUUAGCUAGUUGGUAAGGUAACGGCUUACCAAGGCAACGAUGCAUAGCCGACCUGAGAGGGUGAUCGGCCACACUGGAACUGAGACACGGUCCAGACUCCUACGGGAGGCAGCAGUAGGGAAUCUUCCGCAAUGGGCGAAAGCCUGACGGAGCAACGCCGCGUGAGUGAUGAAGGUCUUCGGAUCGUAAAACUCUGUUAUUAGGGAAGAACAGAUGUGUAAGUAAAUGCGCACAUCUUGACGGUACCUAAUCAGAAAGCAACGGCUAACUACGUG
rnacentral:rRNA from 1 species